ACCGUGUCAGGACUGAAAAGGAGCAGCACAAUUUAUGUUGAUUAAGUACUU
rnacentral:SRP_RNA from 1 species